rnacentral:misc_RNA from 1 species
GUUCCGUAGGUGAACCUGCGGAAGGAUCAUCCAUAAUAAGUGUUUUAUGGCACUUUUUUAAAUCCAUAUCCACCUUGUGUGCAAUGUCAGGGUUGAUUUUUCUCUCGAGAGGAUCAACCCCAAACAUCAACUAUAUCUCAACUCUUUGUCUGAAAAAUAUUAUGAAUAAAACAAUUCAAAAUACAACUUUCAACAACGGAUCUCUUGGCUCUC